rnacentral:rRNA from 1 species
UGGGGAAUAUUGCACAAUGGGGGAAACCCUGAUGCAGCGACGCCGCGUGGAGGAAGAAGGUCUUCGGAUUGUAAACUCCUGUUGUUGAGGAAGAUAAUGACGGUACUCAACAAGGAAGUGACGGCUAACUACGUGCCAGCAGCCGCGGUAAAACGUAGGUCACAAGCGUUGUCCGGAAUUACUGGGUGUAAAGGGAGCGCAGGCGGGAAGACAAGUUGGAAGUGAAAUCUAUGGGCUCAACCCAUAAACUGCUUUCAAAACUGUUUUUCUUGAGUAGUGCAGAGGUAGGCGGAAUUCCCGGUGUAGCGGUGGAAUGCGUAGAUAUCGGGAGGAACACCAGUGGCGAAGGCGGCCUACUGGGCACCAACUGACGCUGAGGCUCGAAAGUGUGGGUAGCAAACAGGAUUAGAUACCCUGGUAGUCCACACCGUAAACGAUGAUUACUAGGUGUUGGAGGAUUGACCCCUUCAGUGCCGCAGUUAACACAAUAAGUAAUCCACCUGGGGAGUACGACCGCAAGGUUGAAACUCAAAGGAAUUGACGGGGGCCCGCACAAGCAGUGGAGUAUGUGGUUUAAUUCGACGCAACGCGAAGAACCUUACCAAGUCUUGACAUCCUGCGACGAUGCUGGAAACAGUAUUUUCUUUCGGGACGCAGAGACAGGUGGUGCAUGGUUGUCGUCAGCUCGUGUCGUGAGAUGUUGGGUUAAGUCCCGCAACGAGCGCAACCCUUACUGUCAGUUACUACGCAAGAGGACUCUGGCAGGACUGCCGUUGACAAAACGGAGGAAGGUGGGGAUGACGUCAAAUCAUCAUGCCCUUUAUGACUUGGGCUACACACGUACUACAAUGGCGUUAAACAAAGAGAAGCAAGACCGCGAGGUGGAGCAAAACUCAGAAACAACGUCCCAGUUCGGAUUGUAGUCUGCAACUCGACCACAUGAAGCUGGAAUCGCUAGUAAUCGCGAAUCAGCAUGUCGCGGUGAAUACGUUCCC